UUUUUGUGAUGAAUUACUUUUCACCAUCUUUCGACUGAGACUUUGUGAUGGAUAUUGUUUUUACCUGAUGGAUCUU